GGUGUCUAGGAUGUCAAUGGUAUAAUUCUUUUCCUAUACAAGUUUAUAGUUUGGAAGAUUUAGCUACUUUGACUUGGAGUUUAGGGUUUUGACUUUUGUCAUACAAGGCUUUUUGAAAUUUUUGAAAAGUCCAUUGGAUUUGUUUGAGGGUUGCCAAUUAUAAAUAUGUGCUUGAAGUUUUGAAAAGGUGCAUAUGUUUGUAGUUAUUAAAUGUUUGACUAUUUUGACUUUUGAGUUGACUUUGCAUAUGAAUAGGAAUUUUGAAGUUUUGAUUUGAGCUACCCCCCUAUUUUAAGGGUCUAGGAAUCUAGUGAUGGUCUUGAAAUCCUAUACAUGUUUUUCAAUUUUGAGAUAUAAGGCGUUUGACUUGAUACAAUUUUCUGUUGACUUUUUGUGUACUUUGUUGUCUUGAAUUUUUGAUUUGACCUACCCCCCUAUUUGUCAUGCUUCUGAUUCCAAUGGUAUGUUUAAAAUUUUCAGCAAAUUAAUAGUUUAGGAGAUAUGAGAUUUUCAAAAUAGCAAAAUUUGCCUUUCAUUAAUAUAUGAAAAAAAUAUUAUAAAAAUAUGAAAUAAAUACAUAGAGACUUUUGGACAUUAUAAUAAUAUAUUGAAUAAUUUAUAUAAGUAAAUGUUUUUUUUUUUUUUUUUUGAAAAAUAUCAUAUUUAUACUAUAUGUACAUAUGAUUUAACUUUAUAUUAUAUGUGUUCUAAGCCUAUGCAAUGGAUUGAACAUGAUUCCGCCAAUUUGCACCAUAUUCUUGAAUGAAGUGGCGAGCUCCUCCAACAUGAUCUUCAUACACUCCAUCCUUUUUCCAAUAUGCACCACUAUUGCGACCAAGGUUUAGGGUUUAGGGUUUAGGAUUUACAUGGGUGUCCUAGAGGUUUUUCAUCCUCAAUAUCUCUCAAUAUGUAAUAGCUUUUUCUGUUGUAAAAUUUUGCCAAGGCUUAAAAUCACCCAAAGACCUCUAUAAAUGAUUUUGUUUUUCAAAAAAAUGUGUUUCGUUUUCUGUAAUUUAGGGUUUGAAAAUCCUAAUUAGGGUCUUCAGACCCUGAUUAGAGUUCUAACUUGCAUAUUUUUUCUCAUGAGAGAACUAUAUAUGGAGUCUAAAUGCAUACAAAACUCUGCUUACUCAAAGCAAUCCCCCAUAGAUAGGUGGUUCACCUAGUCCAGGUCGAGAGAGUCCUUCAGGCUGCUCGCCCCUAUGUCUUUGCCCGCUCUCCACCUGCUGCACCAUCGGCUCUCCUUCCAUCAGGAUCAUCGUCGACGGAGUCAAUAUCAGCUCCAUCUUUGACUUCUGCAAGACUCCCGCAAGCGACGUUGGUGCCUACCUCCAAUGCAUCCGUGAGUGCAGCCUUCGAGACUACGCCGCUUACUGCAGCAUCACUUGUAGUCA
rnacentral:lncRNA from 1 species